ensembl:snRNA U6 U6 spliceosomal RNA
GUGCUUGCUUUGGUAGCACAUAUACUAAAAUUAGAAUGACACAGAGGAGAUCAGCAUGGUCCCUGUGCAAGGAUGACUCACAAAUUCAUGAAGUGUUCCAUAUUUUU